CUUCUUGUGUCUUUCCAGGGUGGCAGAUUUCCCAAUUCUGGAUCCGUUUCCUGUGCUUUAUCAGCUGUUGUUGUGGCUGCUGUAUUUAAUAUUGCCCUUCUUUCAUGUGACCUGCAUUAACUACUUCUAGGAACACAUAUAUUUCUUUCUGAUGCUUCUAAGUUUGAUGAGUGAGGUGGUCUUACACAUAACCUAAGACAUUAUCCUUUUAUUGGUUCUAAGCCCAUAAAUUCAACUUCUAUAGCUGCCUGAACCAUGCUAGUCUGAUUCAUUCAUACUCUCUCCCAUGUUGGUCAGAGGUGGUCAUGAGAUGUUCCCAUCUGGACAGUAGAGGUGUUCAUCUGCUUUCCACCUCACCCUGCCAUUUUGCCCUUUUGCUUCAUGUUCUCCUAGAUGCCCUUCUGCCUCAGCUAGAUCUUGCCCUAGACCUACUAUGAGCAAGUGGUCAUGCUGAAUCUGGUAUGUGCAGACAUCACAUAUAUAGUCCGUACCUGUGGUCUCUUAUGGCCUUUUCUGUGGUUGGAUUUGAUAUAUUUGUCAUUAGAACCACAGAUAUCAGACAUUGCAGGCUGUACUGUAGCUACCUGCAGAGAAUCUCUGCCCAAGGUAUUUAGCAUAUAUGCCUUCCACAUUUGUGUCACCCUGUUCCUGCACAUCUCAGUAUUCUACUCCUUUUUCUCUUGUUGCUUUUGCUACCAUACACUCACAGUGAUUCCCAUCUCCUUGCUCAUCCUUUACUCAUUAGUGCCUUCCAUGUUCAAUACCAUCACCUGUGGGGUAAAGAGUAAGCAUAUCCAAGAAAACAUGGUACAGAGAUUUUGUGGGAAA
rnacentral:lncRNA from 1 species